GAUGAACGCUGGCGGCGUGCCUAAUACAUGCAAGUCGAGCGAACAGACGAGGAGCUUGCUCCUCUGACGUUAGCGGCGGACGGGUGAGUAACACGUGGAGAACCUACCUAUAAGACUGGGAUAACUUCGGGAAACCGGAGCUAAUACCGGAUAAUAUAUUGAACCGCAUGGUUCAAUAGUGAAAGACGGUUUUGCUGUCACUUAUAGCUGGAUCCGCGCGGCAUUAGCUAGUUGGUAAGGUAACGGCUUACCAAGGCAACGAUGCGUAGCCGACCUGAGAGGGUGAUCGGCCACACUGGAACUGAGACACGGUCCAGACUCCUACGGGAGGCAGCAGUAGGGAAUCUUCCGCAAUGGGCGCAAGCUUGACGGAGCAACGCCGCGUGAGUGAUGAAGGUCUUCGGAUCGUAAAACUCUGUUAUUAGGGAAGAACAAAUGUGUAAGUAACUAUGCACGUAUUGACGGUACCUAAUCAGAAAGCCACGGCUAACUACGUG
rnacentral:rRNA from 1 species